GCCAACCUAGCAUAGUGGUUUGAGUGUUGGACUAUAUCUCUGGAGACCGGGGUUCAAAUCCCAGCUGGGUCA